CAGGAGUCUUCUUUUUAGGUCUAAGCUUGAAAUACAAGACAAGCAUUGCAAUGCCUGUAUACGUUGCUAUUACAUAGUUCCUCCUGCCUGUGAUGGUAUAGGAAUUGAAGUACUUCUGAAAUCCAGUGAACUGGUGUUGAGAUCCUGAGUCGUGGCCAGCCAUGGUUGCUGGUUCUACCAAGCUUGGCAGAGAUGCUGUAGCCACCGGCACCCUCAGCAACCUCC
rnacentral:lncRNA from 1 species